GAUGAACGCUGGCGGCGUGCCUAAUACAUGCAAGUCGAGCGAACGGACGAGAAGCUUGCUUCUCUGAUGUUAGCGGCGGACGGGAGAGUAACACGUGGAUAACCUACCUAUAAGACUGGGAUAACUUCGGGAAACCGGAGCUAAUACCGGAUAAUAUUUUGAACCGCAUGGUUCAAACGUGAAAGACGGUCUUGCUGACACUAAUAGACGGAUCCGCGCUGCAUUAGCUAGUUGGUAAGGUAACGGCUUACCAAGGCAACGAUGCAUAGCCGACCUGAGAGGGUGAUCGGCCACACGGGAACUGAGACACGGUCCAGACUCCUACGGGGGGCAGCAGUAGGGAAUCUUCCGCAAGGGGCGAAAGCCUGACGGAGCAACGCCGCGUGAGUGAUGAAGGUCUUCGGAUCGUAAAACUCUGUUAUUAGGGGAGAACAUAUGUGUAAGUAACUGUGCACAUCUUGACGGUACCUAAUCAGAAAGCCACGGCUAACUACGUG
rnacentral:rRNA from 1 species